rnacentral:rRNA from 1 species
AGCCCUAAGCGGGUGGUAAACUCCAUCUAAGGCUAAAUAUGACCACGAGACCGAUAGCGAACAAGUACCGUGAGGGAAAGUUGAAAAGCACUUUGAAGAGAGAGUUCAAGAGUACGUGAAACCGUUUAGGGGUAAACCUGAGAAACCCGAAAGGUCGAAGGGAGAAAUUCAUUCGCGUCUCGUCGCGAGCGUCGAUCGGUCGAGCGACGGAAAACGCGUUCGCGCGCGUUUUCCGCGCCUUCCGUUCUUCGAACUCGUAGCGAACGCGUGCACUUUUCUCCCGGUAGGACGUCGCGAUCCGUUGAGCGUCGGUCUACGGCUCGCGGUGGAGCCCGUUCGCGUCUCGCACGCGAACGGACCCGCGUGUCCCGGCCGACUCGCUCGACGGUAUACGAAAGGUUUAAGGCCGCUCUAGGAGCGUUCGACUCGCGGCAAGCGCGCCGGAUGCGUCGGCGAUCGGACCCGGUGCCGAUUCUGACCUCCGGCGACUGUUGGCCGCGAAGUUCUCGAACAGACCUCGGACCGAUCUGCGACGCUAUAGCUUUGGGUACUUUCAG